CCACAGAGCUCAGAUGCCAUCAAGAUUCUUUAAAAACAUUCUCAAAGGGGACUUGGCAUUUCCAACAAAGGCUGAAGAAGGUCUGUUGGGGAAAGGGUGGGACGUUCAUUCCUGGCACCGGGUCCCACUGUUGCAAAGUUCCCAGAGCCUCUGUUUACCACCUGGAAGAUCCUGAAGGUGCUGUGAGAAUGAAAUGGAGCCAAGCUGCAGAAGCCUUUUCCCGGUGCCUCAGAUGUGACACUUCAUGCCUGUCCGGUCUCCCCAGACCUGGUGAGUCUUCACCCCUGUCCCUUGCCUC
rnacentral:lncRNA from 1 species